rnacentral:rRNA from 1 species
CACGUAGGGCGCAAGCGUUGUCCGGAAUUAUUGGGCGUAAAGAGCUCGUAGGCGGUCUGUUGCGUCCGCUGUGAAAACUCGGGGCUUAACCCCGAGCCUGCAGUGGAUACGGGCAGACUAGAGGUAGGUAGGGGAGAAUGGAAUUCCCGGUGUAGCGGUGAAAUGCGCAGAUAUCGGGAGGAGCACCGGUGGCGAAGGCGGUUCUCUGGGCCUUACCUGACGCUGAGGAGCGAAAGCGUGGGGAGCGAACAGG